UACGUAGGGAGCAAGCGUUGUCCGGAAUCAUUGGGCGUAAAGCGCGCGUAGGCGGCCCUGUAAGUCCGUUGUGAAAGUCAAAGGCUCAACCUUUGAAAGCCGAUGGAUACUGCAGGGCUAGAGUCCGGAAGAGGCGAGUGGAAUUCCUGGUGUAGCGGUGAAAUGCGCAGAUAUCAGGAGGAACACCAAUUGCGAAGGCAGCUCGCUGGAACGUAACUGACGCUGAGACGCGAAAGCGUGGGGAGCAAACAGG
rnacentral:rRNA from 1 species